CUCGGCUUGUUUUAGAAUCACUUUCUCUCUCUCUCAGCUAGAAGAAAUGUCUCUUGCUGCACUUACCGCAUUCCAGCAUUGAAAAAGCCUGUUCUUUUGACAAAUAUAUACAAGCAAAGAGCUAAAGGGGUAGCUCCAUCCAUUUGAAGAAACUUUUAAAUCGUUUUGUAACUGAUGAUUCCUAAUUUGCUUGAUACAUGUACAUUUUACACCUUUUCCUUGACAAGUGAGCCGAGAUUGUGUGGUGGUUUUCAUUGUGGCCUGAAGUAUAGAAGAGAAGGAGAAUGAGGAAGAAAAUAUUUUUGAGAUUUUACAGAGAGAAGGACUGAGAGUUUCACUCUGUUGUGGAAUCCACUGGAAUAACCAAAGUCACUCACACCAGGCAGCUUAACUGAACGCAUUUUUUAUACUUUAAGUUUCUGACACAACCUCAAAGCAAAGAGGAACCUCUCCAAGGACCUAAUCAGAUGCAAGCCUGUGUUGAAGAGAUGAAACCAUAAAGCAUUGAGUUGAUGACAAAGAAGAUAUAAAUGAAACUGUAAUAGCAAAAAUAUUAGAAUAAGAUGUGCAUUUCCACAGAAAAGCUGGACAUCUAAACUUCAAAACACAGAGGCAGAAAAGAAAAGAAUAAUUGACCGGAUUGUAACUAAGUGUAUUACUUCUUAGCUGGAAAGUAUACAUCACUCAUCUGCAUCUCCAUACUUCAUCACUUUUCACCUGGUGGCAACUCAGCUUCCCUAUUGGAAACAUAAUUAGUGUUCUGUGAUAGUAUGUGUAUACUCAAACCUUUUGUGAUAGCACACAUUUUAGGUUUAAUAUUUUAUAAAGGAUUGUACACAUAUUGGGUCAGUGUCUAUAUGGUAAGCCGGGUAUUUUCCCAUUUCUAAUAAAACCCUAGCUUAGAGCUUCCUGCUUUCUGAGCUUUGUAGGAGGCAGCCAGAAACCAGUGUAUGUUACCUGAGACAUGUUUGUUUCCUUUGGCUCUCAACUGAGUUUGGCAUCGUCUUCCCUUUUCCUUGGCAGAAGGUAGAAAUUAGAACCGUGAAGGGGAUUUAAAUGCAGCAUUUGGGGCAGCACCCUGCCAAGCAAGCCAGCCAUUGACACCCGAGGUAAGGUUAUGACAAGGUUUCUCAACAGUUAUGACUCCAAGAGUGAAGAUUAACAUUCACCUUGCCUUGGACUGAUGUUACUUUUACUCCCCUCUGAAAACAAUCAAGAUAACCAUGUCCAUGUUCAGAUUGUCUCAAUCAGCUGUGGUUUCUCUUUCAGACAAAAGUGGUGCCAAUGAAUGUUACUUCUGCUCUGGCCUAAAUAGCACUUUUCUCUUUAUUUUAAAGUGUCAUUUUACCAGGAGAUGUAGUGAGGGGAGGAAAAAGCUUUAAAUAAAUAAGCUUUUUCUUUCUUUGUUAAGCUUUGCUCCCUGAAGACCAGUGUCCAUAACAUCUCUACGUAAACUCAGUUUACUCCUAUUUCAUCUCCAAUAGCCAUGCCCGCUCUUGGAGAGAGAUGGCUUUCUAGCUUAUUCAGAAAAGAAGCUAUGAGGCAUAUUCAUGCCUUAGCUUCCCUCUUGUCUGCUUCUAAAGUAACCAUAUGUUUACCCAUC